GCUUUGUGGGAACUAUGGUGUUGAACGCUGAGCUGUAGUCAAUGAACAGCAUUCCCACAUAGGUGUUCCUUUUGUCCAAGUGGGAAAGGGCAGUGUGGAGUGUGAUUGAGAUUGCGUCAUCUGUGGAUCUGUUGGGGCGGUAUGUGAAUUGUAGUGGGUCUAGGGUUUCCGGGAUGAUGAUGUUGAUGUGAGCCAUAUCCUGUUCAAAGGCACUUAAAUAUUUUGUCUUGCCCAUUCACCCUCAGAUUUGCACACAUACACAAUCCUUGUCUCAAUUGUCUUAAAAAAAACAUUUUUCCUCCCUUUCAUCUACACUGAUUGAAUUGUACUGUAUUUAACAAGUGACAUCAAUAAGGGAUCAAAGCAUUCACCUGGUCAGUCUAUGUCAUGGAAAGAGCAGGUGUUCUUAAUGUUUUGUUCACAGUGUAUAUGACUGAGACAUUAUUCUGAUUGUUCAGAUGCCAUGUCCUCCGCAACAUUUGCCCACACUUGCUGCAUGAGCCUGGUUUUUGCUCUCUGUGGUUUUCCUGUGCACAUGCUCCACAUCUACUUCUCCAUUCAAACACUCCCACUGUCUCUGUCACAUACACCCUACCUUGUGAAAUCAUACUUACAGUCUGAAACACUCUGUAUAAUUACAAUGUUCAUCCCUGAUAUGGCAGCUGGUUGUCUGUUUUUGGUCAUCGUCCUUCUAUAUACCUUUCAAUACAUCAAAGCCCAAGUUCAGAAACCAGUGAUUAGUACCAGUCAUAAUGAGGAGGAUUUCAUCAUCACCUGUUUGAUUCCUGGAAUUGCUGGUAACGACACCUGCUGUAACCUGUAUAUUGGAGAGAAGAAUAAGCCAUUCUUGAAAACACGGAUAUGGAAAAAGAAAACCCAAAAAACCAAGCAAUGGUACUGUACAUUCUCUGUGACCGAAGACGAUCUGAUCAGACAUCUACAGUCAGUGAGGAGUAAGGCGGUGAGCUGUGACUACAGAGUGAACUCAGGAACAAACUCUCUCUCUCCACGUAGUGAUGGAUACAGCUUUACAGAUCUGGUGGAAGUUCACAUCAGUGAUCCAACAACUAUUACAGCAGGAUUGACCUCUCCUUUGACCCCCAGCACAGCAGUGAAUCCUACGUCAGGUUGGACUGUUCUUUCUACUUUGACCACUGACACCGCAAAGAUUUCAACUGAAGGAGGUCAAAGCUACACAGAAAGUGAGGUUUUUUCAAACAGUCAAGAAAGCGUUCCAGCAUGUUCAACUGUUGCUUCUACUUUGACCCUUGACAUCACAGUGAGACCAACUACCAGUUUGACCUCUCCUUUGACCUCCAGCACAGCAGUGACUACUACAUCAGGUUCGACUGUUCGUUCAACUUUGACUACUGACACCACACUAAGUCCAACGGAAGGAAAAGGCUCCACAGAAAGUAUUCUGUGUAUGUAUCCUUCUCUAGCUGACUACCUUUCUUUUAAAAUACAUAUGAAAACAAACAAAUGUAUCAGACAAAUAAUAAUGUGGUCUUUAAAACCUAGUCUUGAUGUACUGACUCUGGGUAAUAACCUCUUCUACUGUUCCCAAACAGCGGGGCAGGUUUGGCAGGCAGCAGUGGCUGUGGUUUCUGGAGUGGGUGUGUUCCUGGUGGGAUUGACUGCUUUCUGUCUCUGCAGGAGCACCAAGAAAAACAAUUCUCAGAGACCUACAGCCAGACAGGAUGAUGACAACCAAUAUGAUUUGGUGUUGGGAGCCAUGAGCAGUGCAGCCAUGAUGGAUUCUGGGGAAGCUGGGAUAUACAGUCUGAUCACCUCUGUACCAGCCACGUUUUUGCCCUCAGGUCCUGUGCAGGUAUCUGCACAUGAAGAUGUCGAUUCAGGGAAUACAGGGAUCUAUAGGCUGAUCACUGCACCACGCACAUCUAUACCUUCAGGCCCUAUUGAAGAGAAUGGACAGUCAUUUGAAAACUACACAGUAAGUAGAAUCACCAACUGUGUUAUGUGUGUGACUUUCAGUUUCAGAUAUGUAUUACAUCCAUAA
rnacentral:lncRNA from 1 species